rnacentral:rRNA from 1 species
CCUACGGGUGGCAGCAGUGGGGAAUAUUGGGCAAUGGGCGCAAGCCUGACCCAGCAACGCCGCGUGAAGGAAGAAGGCUUUCGGGUUGUAAACUUCUUUUCUCAGGGACGAAGAAAGUGACGGUACCUUAGGAAUAAGCCACGGCUAACUACGUGCCAGCAGCCGCGGUAAUACGUGGGUGGCAAGCGUUAUCCGGAUUUACUGGGUGUAAAGGGCGUGUAGGCGGGACUGCAAGUCAGAUGUGAAAACCACGGGCUCAACCUGUGGACUGCAUUUGAAACUGUAGUUCUUGAGUACUGGAGAGGAAGACGGAAUUCCUAGUGUAGCGGUGAAAUGCGUAGAGAUUAGGAGGAACACCAGUGGCGAAGGCGGUCUGCUGGACAGCAACUGACGCUGAGGCGCGAAAGCGUGGGGAGCAAACAGGAUUAGAUACCCUAGUAGUC